CCUACGGGGGGCAGCAGUGGGGAAUAUUGCGCAAUGGGCGAAAGCCUGACGCAGCGACGCCGCGUGAGGGAUGAAGGUCUUCGGAUCGUAAACCUCUGUCAGCAGGGAAGAACGGUCACUGUGCUAAUCAGCAGUGACUUGACGGUACCUGCAAAGGAAGCACCGGCUAACUCCGUGCCAGCAGCCGCGGUAAUACGGAGGGUGCGAGCGUUAAUCGGAAUUACUGGGCGGAAAGCGCUCGUAGGCGGUAUGUCAAGUCAAGGGUGAAAUCCCCGCGCGCAACGUGGGAACGGCAGUUGAAACUGGCAAACUGGAGUGUGUGAGAGGAUAGGGGAAUUCCAGGUGUAGGGUGGAAAUCCGUAGAUAUCUGGAGGAACAUCAGUGGCGAAGGCGACUAUCUGGCACAUAACUGACGCUGAGGAGCGAAAGCGUGGGUAGCAAACAGGAUUAGAUACCCCAGUAGUC
rnacentral:rRNA from 1 species